rnacentral:rRNA from 1 species
CAUUAAUGAAAUGAAUGUUGAGAAGGGUUGUAGCUGGCCUUUUGGGGCAUGUGCACACCCUGAUCACACAUCCACCUCUCACACUUGUGCACUAUGUGUAGCUUGGGAUGAUUACGAUGUUAGAAAUGAUGUCGAAAGCCCUAGCUAUGAAUUUUUAUAAACUCAUAUAUAAAACUACAGAAUGAAUGAUAGUUAUAGCAUGUAACAGUGCAUAUAUAUAUAUACAACUUUCAGCAACGGAUCUCUUGGCUCUCGCAUCGAUGAAGAACGCAGCGAAAUGCGAUAAGUAAUGUGAAUUGCAGAAUUCAGUGAAUCAUCGAAUCUUUGAACGCACCUUGCGCUCCUUGGUAUUCCGAGGAGCAUGCCUGUUUGAGUGUCAUGAAAUUCUCAACUGCCUUUUAGCAUUUAUUGUUAAAGGUGAAGUUGGAUUUGGAGGAUAACUGCUGGCGCAACUUAGGUUGCUUGUUAGCUCCUCUUAAAUGGAUGAGCUUUUCUGAUGGAUCAUAGCUCAGAGUAGUAUCAAUGUGAUAAUUAUCUACAUUAGAUGUGAAAGCUGUGAGUAGAGCAACUUUUUGCUCCUACAGAGAAGGAAAUGUUUUGGGGAUAAUAAACCCAUAUACAAUGACAAAUCUGACCUCAAAUCAGGUAGGACUACCCGCUGAACUUAAGCAUAUCA